CCGGAACACAAACCCUAGGAACACCUUAUAGAUUUCCAUCAAAUAAAUCAAGCAUGCAUAUUAGGUAGAAGUUAUACCUUUCUGAAGAUGAUGAUCUGGUGCAAGGAUGGUCUCUACAAGACACCAAAGUAGAUAUCCUCCAAUGGUGAUCCACACAGGAUUGAUCAAGGUCUUUCCCAACUUGAUGUAGUGCUGCAACCUUCUUCACAAGUCCAGUGCUGAUUUUCUUCCCAAGGAACGGAUUGCACCAUCACCUGAUUGCCUUCAAUCCUCCUUAAAAGCCACAUCAAAAUUUUUUUGUCAAAACAUCUCACCACCCA
rnacentral:lncRNA from 1 species